rnacentral:rRNA from 1 species
CCUAGUUGAUCCUGGCAGUAGUCAUAUGCUUGUCUCAAAGAUUAAGCCAUGCAUGUCUAAGUAUGAACUAAUUCAGACUGUGAAACUGUGGAUGGCUCAUUAAAUCAGUUAUAGUUUUUUUGAUGGUACCAUACUACUCAGAUAACCAUAAUAAUUCUAGAGCUAAUACAUGCACCAAGUCCUGACUCUUUGGAAGUGAUGCAUUUUUUAGAUAAAAGAUGACGCGGGCUUGCCCGCUUCUCUGGUAAUCAUGAUAACUCAACGGAUUGAACGGACCUUGUGCUGGCGAUGCUUCAGUCAAAUUUAUGCCCUAUAAAAUUUUGAUGGGAGGAUAGAGGCCUAUCAUGGUGGUGAUGAGUGAUGGAUAAUUAGGGUUCGAUUCCAGAGAGGGAGCCUAAGAAACGACUACCAUAUCCAAGGAAGGUAGCAGGAACGCAAAUUACCCAAUCUUGACAUGGGGAGGUAGUGACAAUAAAUAACAAUACUGGGCUCAUCGAGUCUGGUAAUUGGAAUGAGUACAAUCCAAAUCCCUUAACGAGGAUCCACUGGAGGGCAAUUCUAGUGCCAAAAACUGCGGUAAUUCCAGCUCCAAUAGCGUAUAUUUAAGUUGUUGCAGUUAAAAAUCUCGUAUUUGGAUCUUGGGUCAUAAAGGUCGAUCUGCUUACUUGAUGUGCACCUACCCUUCCAUCCCUUUUGUCGGCGGUGUGCUCCUGGAUGGUUCGCGGCUCCGGCACCGUUACUUUGAAAAAGUUAGACUGCUCGAAGCAAGCUUAUGCUCUGAAUACAUUAGCAUGGAAUAAUGUGAUAGGAGUCUGGUCCUAUUGUGUUGGCCUUCGGGACCAGAGUAAUGAUUAAUAGGGACUGUCGGAGGCAUUCGUAUUUCAUUGUCAGAGUUGAAAUUCUUGGAUUUAUGAAAGACAGACCACUACCAAAGCAUUUUCCAAGGAUGUUUUCAUUAAUCAAGAAUGAAAUUUGGGGCCUCGAAGAUGAUCAAAUACCGUCCUAGUCUCAACCAUAAACGAUGCCGACCAGCGAUCAAUGGAUGUUGCUCUAAGGACUCCACCAACACUUUCUGAGAAAUCAAAGUGUUUGGGUUCCAGGGGAGUAUGGUCGCAAGGCUGAAUCUUAAAGGAAUUGACAGAAGGGCACCACCAGGAGUGGAGCCUACAACUUAAUUUGACUUAACACAGGGAAACUUACCAGGUCCAGACAUAGUAAGGAUUGACAGAUUGAGAGAUCUUUCUUGAUUCUAUGGGUGGUGGUGCAUGACCAUUCUUAGUUGGUGGAGAAAUUUGUCUGGUUAAUUUCGAUAAUGAAUGAGGCCUCAACCUACUAAAUAUUUACACAGAGGUUACUAGCUUCAUAUAGGGACUAUGGCCAUUUAGGUCAUGGAAGUUUGAGGCAAUAAUAGGUCUGUGAUGGCCUUAGAUGUUUUGGGCCGCACGCACACUACACUGAUGCAGCGAAUGAGUUUUUCUUCCUGGUUUGAGAGGAUCGGGAAAUCUUCUCAAAUUGCAUCAUGAUGGGGAUAUACCAUUGCAAUUAUUGGUCUUCAACGAGGAAUUCCUAGUAAGCGCGUGUCAUGAACUCAUGUUGACUAUGUCCCUACCCUUUGUAUACACUACCCGUCACUCCUACCGAUUGAAUGAUCCAGUGAAGUGUUCAGAUUGCAUCGAUGAUGGUGGUUCGCCGCCAUCAACAUCGUGAGAAGUUCAUUGAACCUUAUCAUUUAGAGGAAGGAGAAGUCGUAUCAAGGUUACCGUCGGUGAACCUGCGGUAG